GACAGAGGUGCCGAGCGUUAGGCGGAAUCACUGGGCUUAAAGCGUGCGCAGGCGGUUAUGCAAGACAGAUGUGAAAUCCCCGGGCUCAACCUGGGAACUGCAUUUGUGACUGCAUGGCUAGAGUACGGUAGAGGGGGAUGGAAUUCCGCGUGUAGCAGUGAAAUGCGUAGAUAUGCGGAGGAACACCGAUGGCGAAGGCAAUCCCCUGGGCCUGCACUGACGCUCAUGCACGAAAGCGUGGGGAGCAAACAGG
rnacentral:rRNA from 1 species